rnacentral:rRNA from 1 species
UUNUGAACUGGGUGGCUAGAGUAUGUCAGAGGGGGGUAGAAUUCCACGUGUAGCAGUGAAAUGCGUAGAGAUGUGGAGGAAUACCGAUGGCGAAGGCAGCCCCCUGGGAUAAUACUGACGUUCAUGCUCGAAAGCGUGGGUAGCAAACAGGAUUAGAUACCCUGGUAGUCCACGCCCUAAACGAUGUCGAUUAGCUGUUGGGCAGCUUGACUGCUUAGUAGCGUAGCUAACGCGUGAAAUCGACCGCCUGGGGAGUACGGUCGCAAGAUUAAAACUCAAAGGAAUUGACGGGGACCCGCACAAGCGGUGGAUGAUGUGGAUUAAUUCGAUGCAACGCGAAGAACCUUACCUGGUCUUGACAUGUACGGAACCUUCCAGAGACGGAAGGGUGCCUUCGGGAACCGUAACACAGGUGCUGCAUGGCUGUCGUCAGCUCGUGUCGUGAGAUGUUGGGUUAAGUCCCGCAACGAGCGCAACCCUUGUCAUUAGUUGCCAUCAUUCAGUUGGGCACUCUAAUGAGACUGCCGGUGACAAACCGGAGGAAGGUGGGGAUGACGUCAAGUCCUCAUGGCCCUUAUGACCAGGGCUUCACACGUCAUACAAUGGUCGGUACAAAGGGUAGCCAAGCCGCGAGGCGGAGCCAAUCUCAUAAAACCGAUCGUAGUCCGGAUUGCACUCUGCAACUCGAGUGCAUGAAGUCGGAAUCGCUAGUAAUCGCAGGUCAGCAUACUGCGGUGAAUACGUUCCCGGGUCUUGUACACACCGCCCGUCACACCAUGGGAGUGGGGGAUACCAGAAGUAGGUAGGGUAACCGCAAGGAGCCCG